rnacentral:rRNA from 1 species
CAAUAGCGUAUAUUAAAGUUGUUGCAGUUAAAAAGCUCGUAGUUGGAUUUGUGGCGUACGGUGUGUUCCGGGCACUUGUUGUCUGAGUAACCUGCUGUUGCCAUCCUUGGGUGGAACCUGUGUGGCAUUAGGUUGUCGUGCAGGGGAUGCCCAUCAUUUACUGUGAAAAAAUUAGAGUGUUCAAAGCAGGCUUAUGCCGUUGAAUAUAUUAGCAUUGAAUAAUGAGAUAGGACUUUUUUGCUAUUUUGUUGGUUUGCGCAAAGAGGUAAUGAUUAAUAGGGACAGUUGGGGGUAUUCGUAUUCCAUUGUCAGAGGUGAAAUUCUUGGAUUUUUGGAAGACGAACUACUGCGAAAGCAUUUACCAAGGAUGUUUUCAUUAA